AGCGAACGCUAGCGGCGGGCCUAACACAUGCAAGUCGAGCGGGGGAGCAAUCCCCAGCGGCGGGACGGGUGAGUAACACGUAGGUUAUGUGCCCUUUGGUGGGGAAUAACCGUGGGAAACCAUGGCUAAUUCCGCAUAUCGAGCGAAAUCUUGAAAGCCUUCGGGCGCCAAAGGAGCAACCUGCGGCCCAUUAGCUUGUUGGUAGGGUAACGGCCUACCAAGGCGAUGAUGGGUAGCUGGUCUGAGAGGAUGAUCAGCCACACUGGAACUGAGACACGGUCCAGACUCCUACGGGAGGCAGCAGUGGGGAAUAUUGCGCAAUGGGCGAAAGCCUGACGC
rnacentral:rRNA from 1 species